rnacentral:rRNA from 1 species
AGUGAACGCUGGCGGUAGGCCUAACACAUGCAAGUCGAACGGCAGCACAGUAAGAGCUUGCUCUUACGGGUGGCGAGUGGCGGACGGGUGAGGAAUACAUCGGAAUCUACUUUUUCGUGGGGGAUAACGUAGGGAAACUUACGCUAAUACCGCAUACGACCUACGGGUGAAAGCAGGGGAUCUUCGGACCUUGCGCGAUUGAAUGAGCCGAUGUCGGAUUAGCUAGUUGGCGGGGUAAAGGCCCACCAAGGCGACGAUCCGUAGCUGGUCUGAGAGGAUGAUCAGCAAAAUUGGAACUGAGACACGGGCCAGACUCCUGCGGGAGGCAACAGUGGGGAAUAUUGGACAAUGGGCGCAAGCAUGAUCAAGCAAUACCGCGUGGGUGAAGAAGGCCUUCGGGUUGUAAAGCCCUUUUGUUGGGAAAGAAAAGCAGCAGGUUAAUACCCCGCUGUUCUGACGGUACCAAAAGAAUAAGCACCGGCUAACUUCGUG